AUACGGAGGGUGCAAGCGUUAAUCGGAAUUACUGGGCGUAAAGCGUACGUAGGCGGUUCGUUAAGUUAGAUGUGAAAGCCCCGGGCUUAACCUGGGAACUGCAUUUAAAACUGGCGAACUAGAGUUGAGUAGAGGGGAGUGGAAUUUCAGGUGUAGCGGUGAAAUGCGUAGAGAUCUGAAGGAACACCAGUGGCGAAGGCGACUCCCUGGACUCAAACUGACGCUGAGGUACGAAAGCGUGGGUAGCAAACGGGAUUAGAAACCCUUGUAGUCC
rnacentral:rRNA from 1 species